rfam:Haemonchus contortus, ISE/inbred ISE, WGS project CAVP01000000 data, contig: Hcontortus_21260
AAACUUACCUUGCUGGGAGGUUCUCGCGAUCAACAAGGCGGGGCCUUCAUGGUGAGGCCGUGCAUUGCACUUUAGCACAGGCUGACCCGUGUGGGAACCUCGAGUUGAGGUUAGCCAACAGCUAAAUUUUUGCGUGUGGGGCUGCGUUCGCGCGGCCCUGU